rnacentral:rRNA from 1 species
GAUGAACGCUGGCGGCGUGCCUAACACAUGCAAGUCGAGCGAUUUACUUCGGUAAAGAGCGGCGGACGGGUGAGUAACGCGUGGGUAACCUGCCCUGUACACACGGAUAACAUACCGAAAGGUAUGCUAAUACGAGAUAAUAUGCUUUUAUCGCAUGGUAGAAGUAUCAAAGCUUUUGCGGUACAGGAUGGACCCGCGUCUGAUUAGCUAGUUGGUAAGGUAACGGCUUACCAAGGCGACGAUCAGUAGCCGACCUGAGAGGGUGAUCGGCCACAUUGGAACUGAGACACGGUCCAAACUCCUACGGGAGGCAGCAGUGGGGAAUAUUGCACAAUGGGCGAAAGCCUGAUGCAGCAACGCCGCGUGAGCGAUGAAGGCCUUGGUCGUAAGCUCUGUCCUCAAGGAAGAUAAUGACGGUACUUGAGGAGGAAGCCCGGCUAACUACGUGCCAGCAGCCGCGGUAACACGAGAGUA